AGUGAACGCUGGCGGUACGCCUAACACAUGCAAGUCGAACGGCAGCACAGUAAGAGCUUGCUCUUACGGGAGGCGAGGGGCGGACGGGUGAGGAAUACAGCGGAAUCUACUUUUUCGUGGGGGAUAACGUAGGGAAACUUACGCUAAUACCGCAUACGACCUACGGGUGAAAGCAGGGGAUCUUUGGACCUCGCGCGAUUGAAUGAGCCGAUGUCGGAUUAGCUAGUUGGGGGGGUAAAGGCCACCAAGGCGACGAUCCGUAGCAGGUCUGAGAGGAUGAUCCGCCACACUGGAACUGAGACACGGUCCAGACUCCUACGGGAGGCAGCAGUGGGGAAUAUUGGACAAUGGGCGCAAGCCUGAUCCAGCCAUACCGCGUGGGUGAAGAAGGCCUUCGGGUUGUAAAGCCCUUUUGUUGGGAAAGAAAAGCAGCAGGUUAAUACCCCGCUGUUCUGACGGUACCCAAAGAAUAAGCACCGGCUAACUUCGUG
rnacentral:rRNA from 1 species